GGCCUUAUAUUCAUUUGUAUGAUAAUAGAAUGCAAUUCUAUAGGAGUAAAUUUAUUACUAAGGCUU
rnacentral:tRNA from 1 species